CGGGUGCGUAACGCGUAUGCAACCUACCUUUAACAGGGGGAUAACACUGAGAAAUUGGUACUAAUACCCCAUAACAUCAUGAAAGGCAUCUUUUAUGGUUGAAAAUUCCGAUGGUUAGAGAUGGGCAUGCGUUGUAUUAGCUAGUUGGUGAGGUAACGGCUCACCAAGGCGACGAUACAUAGGGGGACUGAGAGGUUAACCCCCCACACUGGUACUGAGACACGGACCAGACUCCUACGGGAGGCAGCAGUGAGGAAUAUUGGUCAAUGGACGCAAGUCUGAACCAGCCAUGCCGCGUGCAGGAUGACGGCUCUAUGAGUUGUAAACUGCUUUUGUACUAGGGUAAACUCACCUACGUGUAGGUGACUGAAAGUAUAGUACGAAUAAGGAUCGGCUAACUCCGUGCCAGCAGCCGCGGUAAUACGGAGGAUUCAAGCGUUAUCCGGAUUUAUUGGGUUUAAAGGGUGCGUAGGCGGUUUGAUAAGUUAGAGGUGAAAUGUUAGGGCUCAACCCUGAAACUGCCUCUAAUACUGUUGGACUA
rnacentral:rRNA from 1 species